AGCGAACGCUGGCGGCAGGCCUAACACAUGCAAGUCGAACGAACUCUUCGGAGUUAGUGGCGGACGGGUGAGUAACACGUGGGAACGUGCCCUUUGGUACGGAAUAACUCAGGGAAACUUGAGCUAAUACCGUAUGUGCCCUUCGGGGGAAAGAUUUAUCGCCAUUGGAGCGGCCCGCGUCUGAUUAGCUAGUUGGUGAGGUAAAGGCUCACCAAGGCUACGAUCAGUAGCUGGUCUGAGAGGAUGAUCAGCCACAGUGGGACUGAGACACGGCCCAAACUCCUACGGGAGGCAGCAGUGGGGAAUCUUGCGCAAUGGGCGAAAGCCUGACGGAGCCAGGCCGCGUGAAUGAUGAAGGUCUUAGGAUUGUAAAAUUCUUUCACCGGGGACGAUAAUGACGGUACCCGGAGAAGAAGCCCCGGCUAACUUCGUG
rnacentral:rRNA from 1 species